GAUGAACGCUGGCGGCGUGCUUAACACAUGCAAGUCGAACGGAAAGGCCCAAGCUUGCUUGGGUACUCGAGUGGCGAACGGGUGAGUAACACGUGGGUGAUCUGCCCUGCACUUCGGGAUAAGCCUGGGAAACUGGGUCUAAUACCGGAUAGGACCACUUCUUGGAUGUUGUGGUGGAAAGUUUUUUCGGUGUGGGAUGAGCUCGCGGCCUAUCAGCUUGUUGGUGGGGUAAUGGCCUACCAAGGCGUCGACGGGUAGCCGGCCUGAGAGGGUGUACGGCCACAUUGGGACUGAGAUACGGCCCAGACUCCUACGGGAGGCAGCAGGGGGGAAUAUUGCACAAUGGGCGCAAGCCUGAUGCAGCGACGCCGCGUGGGGGAGGACGGCCUUCGGGUUGUAAACUCCUUUCGCUAGGGACGAAGCGUUUUGUGACGGUACCUGGAGAAGAAGCACCGGCUAACUACGUG
rnacentral:rRNA from 1 species